GCCAGCAUGGUAUAGUGGUUUUACUGUAGGACUACGACUCUGAAGAUCAGGUUCGAUUCCCUGCUUGGCC
rnacentral:tRNA from 1 species